UGCGCAGUCUGAUGGCUGAGGCCUGGGCUACUCUUCGGGUUUUUGCAGCCGGUAGCUGGGGCGCCUGGAGAAGGGAAAGGGAAUGCAGUAGAGUAGGGCGCGCCUGGGACCCUGACUCAGCCCCAAGUGAGCCCGAGGUAUUUUCCUUAUAUGAUCAGGCCUCCGUGGCCGGCGCUGCUGGUCCGGAGCCUGAGAGGAUUAUGAAAACGUGGCAGGGUUUCCUGCUUUCUGGAACUCGCCCUGUAGACAAACGACGAGCUCCGCCUAAAUGCUGGGAUUAAAGGCGUGCUCCUCUACGCAAGGCUUUAACCUAAUCGUUUUUCGUGAAAACUUUCAAGGAAUUACAGAAAUGUGAAAAGGUCCGUGCAGAGAACCUGCUGUUUGCUCUUUCACAUCUGCGCAUUAAAACCUUGUCUUUAAAAGAUUGACGUUGACUUCACCCCGCGAACACUUCAGCAUACGUUAUUUACAGUUCUCUUAGGAGUUUUCAUGAAGUCAUUCGCAUACAAAGCUCAAACUAGAAUUGCAGUACUGGCUGCUGAGGAGAGCAAGCAAAGUCCUCGGGAGCUGCAAUAGUUUUUAACAUGUGUGUGGUACAUGACUAUAAUCACAGCACUUGAGAGGCCAUUUGUGUCAGCACGGACUACACAAGACCCUGUGUCGUCCCCACUCCCCACCCCCACAUAGUGACGGUACAAGUGGAAAGCUGUGCACAUGCACACAGUUAGUCUGCCUUGGUGAGGUCUUCAG